rnacentral:rRNA from 1 species
UACGUGGGGUGCGCGCGUUGUUCGGAAUUACUGGGCGUACAGUGCGUGUAGGCGGCUUAUUAUGUCAGGUGUGAAAGCCCUCGGCCUAACCGAGGAAGUGCGCCUGAAACUGAUAAGCUUGAGUACGAGAGAGGAGGACGGAAUUCCCAGUGUAGAGGUGAAAUGCGUAGAUAUUGGGAGGAACACCGGUGGCGAAAGCGGUUCUCUGGAUCGAUACUGACGCUAAGACGCGAAAGCGUGGGGAGCAAACAGG